UUCCCAUUACCGAAUGGUUUCUUCCAGAAACCCUUUCUCAAAAUCAAAACCAUUCCUUUUUGUGCUCAAAGCUUCAUCCAAAAGAAGAAGCUUCAAUUAGAUAUAGGUGGUUGUUUGCUAUAGCUUUGUGAUCAGUAGUACUGCCAUAUCAUCUUCCCGAUGAUAGUUAUUUGAAUUCAAGGCUUAGGGUUUGUUUGGAUUGUGUUAUUCAAGCUUCCACUUAAUUUCAUUAUUCAUGCAUCUUUUCACUGUAUCUCAUGCACAUAUACAUAGUUUGAGUUUCUUUUGUAUGGAUAGUGUUGCAAUUGUGUAGGGAUUUGCAGGAUUUGAUUGUGUUUUCAAACCCUUUCUAUUAACUAAUUUUGAACUCAGCCGUUAGGGUUUGUAAAUUUUAUUCGAGGAAAACUGAUUCAGGUUGAAGUUUAAACUGCUUCCAAUAAGUGUUUUCAUUCUCAACACUAUUAAGUGUUUUCAAGGCUUAGGGUUUGUUUGGAUUGUGUUAUUUAAGCUUAUCUACUUCAAUAAACACUUGCGAGACUGUUUGAAAGUGUUUAUGGAAACUAUAUAUCACCGACACGCGCUACAUCAUAGCUUGAUAAAUAACUAAUAGUUUGAUUUUUUAUUUAUUUUCUGUUAUACAGAAUACCUUAUACAAAUAAGCAUUUUAUGAUAACUGCUUACUUAAGUUUAUCAGAAUAAGGCCUUACUUGGUCAAUGUUGAGCUUAUGAUUCUGGAUUUUGAUAUUGAAUUAAUAUUCUUGACAAGGAACACCUCUUUGAGAUUACUGAGCUCAACAUCUACAGUGCUGUUUUUGGGACCGAAAUUUGGCCAGCUGCGGGGAAUAUGGAAGAACAAUGUAUUGUACACAAUUUGCCAAAGAAUGUGCCUGUUACUCAUGACAAUGCAGAAAAUAUAUGGUUAUUUGAAUUCAAGGCUUAGGGUUUGUUUGGAUUGUGUUAUUUAAGCUUCCCGAUGAUUGGCUGGUUCAGCAAACACGCGGUAUCUCUAACCCUGACCACAUUGACAAGGGUUUGUAAAUAUACAUAUCAUUAGAGAAAAACUGAUGAAGCAGCAGUGGCAAGUUAUAAUGUUGCUUGUUGUUACUCUAAGCUAAACCAGAAGCUUAAGGAUUUGAAGAGCAAAAAAGUUACAAAAAUGUCAAAAGGAAGCAAGUAAAAAAAAUGGAAACUAGCAUUCUUCACCAUUCACCAAGUGGGUAUUGAUGCUGAUGAAAUAGUCAUUUGGAUGAAGAUAAUUUAAUUGGCCAUGGUGGUACCUGAGAGGUUUAUACUUCAACUCUAUGCUUGAUUUUUUAAAUGAGGAACCAACCUUUUAGUUUCUGCGUAAAGCUCUCUUCAUAGAUAAAAGAUGAGAAGGUUUCACGGGCUUGGAAUCACAAGUAUAAAUUGAAUUGUUCUCCACCUGUUAUUCACGGGGGUAUAAAAUCUAUCAACAUCUUGCUUGAUGAAGACUAUGAGGCAAAAAUUGCUGAAUUUGGUGUUGCAAGGUUUGCUGAAAAAAUCUCAGAUGGGUUAUACUGUUCCAGUACGAAGAAGCAUUAGAGAAAUUUGAUUCUAUUUUGGGAGCAAAGCCAGAACUUGAAGAAGCGGCUUUCACAAGUUAUCAUGUUGCUUGUUGUUACUCUAAGCUAAAUCAGAGAAGAUUAGCAUGGCCCCUGCGCAAGGAUGACACGCACAAAUCGAGAAAUGGUCCAAAUUUUUUUGUGAUUUCCCUAUUAUUUGCUCAAUAGUUUUAUAACUUGGUCUUAUUUAACAGUAAUUAAACCAAGUAGGAGAUUGUCUACUUCACAUACAUUUUCUUCUCAAAGUGAUUUUGUUCAUGCAAAGAAGUGGCUCUCAUUUUCUGCAACAACCAAAGUAAAUAGGUAACAACUCUUGUAAUCUUUUUUUGUUAACAAAAACCAUGUCCUAAGUCCUUAAAGAAGUGGCCACUGAAAAUCAUCAGGACUAAUUGUGUUAGUAAAUUAUUAGCCUUUAUUCUCAAAGCACAUGAUUUAAUGAAAUAAGCUAAAGGCAAAUCACAUAGCAAGUUUUGACAUUGUUUGAUAAAAUAUGGGUUUGAUGACUUGUAAUGUUUCAUGUUCUAGUCAGUAUUCUACGUACCAAGCCUUCUCAUUUUAUUUUGCCGAAUUGCUAAUUCAGUUCAAGUGAACACCAAUUUUAUAUAAAAAUGAUAGCUUUUUGAUAAGGCAGAACAGUCAAAAUUUAUUGCAUUUGAACAUUUAUCACAAUCUCCAUGUGUUUUUUUGUAUACCUCCAUCAGUUUACGAGAACUGUAACUACAACAGGAGAUUCUUAACCAGAACAAUUGUCAAAUAUACAUAUAUUGAAAUCAACUCUAUAAUGGAGUUUGGGAUUGAAUAUUGUAUUAAUUUUGUACUUGAGCUAAGAUCCUAAUCUAUUUCUAUACAUGUUUGAAAACUGAAUCACGAAAUAUUAUGCUAUCAUCACAUCAGUUUUUAUACUGACAAAACUUGAACAUUCUAAGUACAAUCAGUUUGGCAUGCUUAUUACUGAUUCUCUCACCCUAUGAGAUUCGUUAGCUACUUAAAUGACUUUUUAACUAUAGUCAUUGCUAAUGGCUAAUGACAAUCACAUUAAUUAUAUUCAUUGCUAAUGACUAAUAAUUGCAUUAGUCAUUGCUAUGUUACAUCUUCUAUGCGGUUUUUGGAAUUGAAAUUUUGCCAGCUGCAGAAUAUGAAAGGAGUAGGACCAACUACACAAUUCGGCAAAUAAUUGGGCCAUUAACUCAUGAGAAUUGAAAGAGUGUGAUAGAGGCAGAGCACAUAUAGCUAAGUCACCAUCACACUAGAAAUUCAUUCACUAUGUGGCUACUCAUUUAGAAGAAGUGCUGUGGUCUACACGGUACCUGGGAAUAUUGUUAGAACCUUACAAAUGGAUAGGUAACUUUUAAGAUACCUUUAGGAGCUCUACUCUAGUAAGAAUCUAGGAAUUAGAUAUUCCCGUUUCUGUAAUCUCUUUGUAACCACUUCAAUUCCAUAAUCAAUAAAGCUCCCACCCUAUUUUAUUUCUACUCUAUUUACUAUUUUUAUACUGUGUUGAGUUCUGGUUUGUAUCAAAUCGGUCCGACAUACUAGAUACGACAAUGGAACCCGUGACUGCAACCGAAGAAGGUUACUCUGCCAGCGUUCAAACAGAUGGAAGCCAAGGUGGAAGCGUUAGAGCGCUAGAAAAUGAGAUAUCAGAGUUACGAUCAACUCUGAUUGAGUUACCAACAUUUGAUGGCGAGGAUCUGGCGGGGUGGAUUUCUCGAGCAUAAGCUUAUUGUCGUGUCGAAGAUACAAUUUCGAAGGUGAAAGUGAAUAUGGCCCAGUUUUGCAUGGAAGGGUCAACUAUCCACUUCUUCAAUUCACUUGUUGGAGAGGAAGGAGAGUUGUCAUGGGAGAGGUUGUAGGAACUGUUGCUAGAAAGAUACGAGGGUCAUGUGCAUGUGGACAGGGAUAUCUACGAACAGUUAACGGAGUAAAGCAAGAGGGAACGGUGGCGAAAUACAUUACAGAAUUUAAGUAUCUAACAGCUCAAAUUCCUAGACUCCCAGAUAGGCAUUUGCAAUAGUGCAAGGCUAUUGCAAACAAGAUAGGCAUGGCAGAAACAAAACAUUUUCCAUAAGAAAUUACAAUCUGCAACACCUAGUUUGGGAGGAAAAAUGCUUCAAUUUCGAAGCAUCCAAUUCGCUAGGAGUAUACAUCUGCUACACUACACCUAGUUUGAGUGAAAAAAUUGAUCUCAACGUCCAUUACCUUCUUGGAAUGCAAAAGGAAUGCUAAGUACGAGGAAGCAUUAGAGUAAUUUGAGUCUGUUUGGGGAACAAAAUCAGAGCCUCAUGAAGCAGCAGUGACAAGUUUUAAUUUUACUUGUUGUUACUCUAAGCUAAACCAGGUUAUAUGUUUGUGUACUACUUUACAAAUUGUAUGUGUUGCAAUCCACUAAUUUGUCAUUAGUUUUGGAUCAUUUUUUUGUGUAUUUAGUCCACAUAUAACUUUCUUUAUAGGUUUAAUCCUACACAUAUAACCUUCUUAAUAGGCUUAAUCCUACACAUAUAACCUUCUUAAUAGGCUUAAUACUCCUCACAGUGGAAGGAUCCCAAGCUGCACUACCUCAGAUUCCCCGAGUCACCAUCAGCACAUGUCACAUGAAUUAUAGUUUCUCACUCGAAAUCAAAUUCCCCGAGUCACCACAUGUUACCGAAGCAUGCGUAAAUUUAGUUAAAAAUCAUCAUGAAAAUGACUUUAAUAUUAUAUUUUAAUGAUUUGUUCAGUGGUAUAGCUUGUACUCUCAUGGAUUGUUCUUUUGAUUAUGCUAUACUUUCUUUUUUUUUAGUUUGUUUCACUCUUUGUUGCUUAGUGAUGAAGGCAAGCAUGAGAAACUGAUACGCCUUUUGGUGAAAAUGGUUUUAAAGGAGUUGAGUAAUAGUCCAAUGAUUGUGGCUGAGUUUCUAGUGGUACUCAAUGAACGUGUUGAGAAGGUGAUGGACGGAUCAGUUACAAUUUCAAUCCAACAGUGUCAAGGUCUUAGGUUUGUAUGGGAUGGGAGGUGUUGGUAAGACAACCCUUGCCAUUUCAAUCCAACAGAGCAAAAUGGAGAAAUGAAACAACUAAUGAAACUUGAUAUUGGGAAUUGCAACAAUCUUGAAUCAUUACCACAAUCCAUUGGCCACCUAGGAUUUCUUACUACCCUUAACAUUUUCAAUGGAAAUAUCAAAGAAUUACCAGCGUCAAUUGGAUUAUUGGAAAAUCUUGUUACCUUAACAUUGAAUGUCAGUAAGGAAA